GCCAGGCAUGGUGGCUCAUGCCUGUAAUCCCAGCAUUUGGGAGGCUGAGGCGGGUGGAUCACUUGAGGCCAGGAGUUUGAGACCAGCCUGGCCAAUAUGGUGAAACCCCGUCUCUA
rnacentral:SRP_RNA from 1 species